rnacentral:tRNA from 1 species
GACCGGUUAUGUCGGAUGGUUCCGGCCGCGGGCUUCAACCCCGUCGAGCAAACAAUAAAAUGUUUUCUUCAGUUCGAUUCUGAAACCGGUC